UACGAAGGGGGCUAGCGUUGCUCGGAAUCACUGGGCGUAAAGCGCACGUAGGCGGAUUGCUAAGUCAGGGGUGAAAUCCUGGAGCUCAACUCCAGAACUGCCUUUGAUACUGGCGAUCUCGAGUCCGGGGGAGGUGAGUGGAACUGCGAGUGUAGAGGUGAAAUUCGUAGAUAUUCGCAAGAACACCAGUGGCGAAGGCGGCCCACUGGCCCGGUACUGACGCUGAGGUGCGAAAGCGUGGGAGCAAACAGG
rnacentral:rRNA from 1 species